rnacentral:rRNA from 1 species
GAUGAACGCUGGCGGCGUGCCUAAUACAUGCAAGUCGAGCGAACGGACGAGAAGCUUGCUUCUCUGAUGUUAGCGGCGGACGGGUGAGUAACACGUGGAUAACCUACCUAUAAGACUAGGAUAACUUCGGGAAACCGGAGCUAAUACCGGAUAAUAUUUUGAACCGCAUGGUUCAAAAGUGAAAGACGGUCUUGCUGUCACUUAUAGAUGGAUCCGCGCUGCAUUAGCUAGUUGGUAAGGUAACGGCUUACCAAGGCAACGAUGCAUAGCCGACCUGAGAGGGUGAUCGGCCACACUGGAACUGAGACACGGUCAAGACUCCUAAGGGAGGCAGCAGUAGGGAAUCUUCCGCAAUGGGCGAAAGCCUGACGGAGCAACGCCGCGUGAGUGAUGAAGGUCUUCGGAUCGUAAAACUCUGUUAUUAGGGAAGAACAUAUGUGUAAGUAACUGUGCACAUCUUGACGGUACCUAAUCAGAAAGCCACGGCUAACUACGUG